rnacentral:rRNA from 1 species
CCCUUAGAUGUUCUGGGCCGCACGCGCGCUACACUGAUGCAUUCAACGAGCCUAUCCUUGACCGACAGGUCCGGGUAAUCUUUGAAUCUGCAUCGUGACGGGGAUAGAUUAUUGCAAUUACUAAUCUUCAACGAGGAAUGCCUAGUAGGCGCAAGUCAUCAGCUUGCGUCGAUUACGUCCCUGCCCUUUGUACACACCGCCCGUCGCUCCUACCGAUUGGGUGUGCUGGUGAAAUGUUCGGAUCGGCCGUUUGUCGCGGUUUCCGCGUCAUGUGGCUGAGAAGUUCAUUAAACCCUCCCACCUAGAGGAAGGAGAAGUCGUAACA